UAGGCUUUGAAAAGUUAGUAUCAACAAAAAUCAUGAAAGUCUCGAUUACAGUUUCAAAAAUCUGAAAGUAUCAGCAAAUUUUUUUUUUAAUUAAUUUCCUUAAUCUUUCUCUUUUUUGUCCCAUACAAUAGCAAGAAAUAUAACAACAAAAGUUUUCAUGCAAGAAAUCCAAAACAUAAGUCAACAACCACAGUAAAUAAAAUAAAUGCUUUCAAAAAACAAACCAUUAACAACCACAACAAAAUAUAAAAAAUAGUCUAAGAAUUAAAACCAUCAAAGCAAAAUAAAUGAAAAUCGUUGAAUGAAGUUGAUCACGAAGCUUGUAAGCAAUUUCAUUACAAUAUUUCACAAAAGCAUCCAGCCUAGAAGAAAGGGAAUCGCAACCGGCAUUGAUCAAAUGCAUAUUUUUCAGACCGGUAAUUAGCGUUUUCCAACAUCAAAUAACUGAUCUGGGAGUGGGCAAUUUUUAAAGGGGGGAAGAAUAUAACAUCGGAAUAGACAUCGACUUAGGAACCGGAAUAGAAAAAAUAUUUCUUCUAUUAACAUCCAUAGACACAUUAGGAACAUCCUUUGAUAAGUUAGGAUCCACAAGAUCUCGAUCCUCAGGAACCUAAAAAAUAAGAAGAAUAAACAUAAUUCACUACACGAAAACUGCAUAAAAAUGACGGAUCAAAAAUGAGGGAAUUUUUUUCCAUUUUUUUCGAAGUCAGAAAUGAAGGAUUUCCGUCAUUUUUAGCAAAUUUCAAAAAAAAUG
rnacentral:lncRNA from 1 species